AGGAGGGCGGCGCGGGAUGAAGGUUGAAAGGAGACAGCGCUUCUCCCCGCGUCCCCGGGCAGCCGGAGGGGACGGUCGGGGCGGUUUUACGCUGUCCCCCAUCGGGGGCUCACUGAGGUCCCUGUAGGGCUGCCCCUCGCCUGUGCGGCACCAAACGCGUUUCCCGGCCCCAUCGGUGCCCCCGCAUCCCUGCGCGGCUCCGCUUGGCGCUGUCCUUCCCGCCCCCCUCCCGCCCGCCGUGCUUCUCGGGCUCCGAUGCUCUCUGAGAUAAGGUUUCUCUUUCUCCAGAAGGAUUUUUGCAAUUCGGGAUUUUUUUCCUCCCCUCCCCUCCCUGAGGUCACAGCAUCCGCACGGUACCCCCCCUUCCCC
rnacentral:lncRNA from 1 species